AAUUAAUGAGCUUGUUAAGCAUAUGUUUUGAAAACAUAAGAAAGUAAUAAAUUACUAUUAAUUU
rnacentral:tRNA from 1 species